GGCAUCUCAACUCUCGCUUGAUGUCUAGAAUCUAGAUACAUCUAUAUAACGAUCUAUAUCUAAAAUACAGCCUAAAUAUAGAUCUAGAUCUAAUCAUCUAGACCCAUAGUGGCCAUAGCCAUAGCAGAUCAUGUUGUUGAUAGUACUACAAUAGUUGACCUACAAUCAUAAAUCUAUCAUCAUGACUCAUGACACAUGCUGCCAUGAUGAUGAUGUAGACAUUUUAUUGUAGAUAUUUACCCUUGCAUGGUCCGUGAUGGGGCUAAUAAAUUACCGUGAUUGUUGAACCAGUCAUUCAUUGACAGUUGUUUAUAGUAAACAAAGGAACAAAAUGAAGACACAAUGUCCAGAUGCCUGAAUUGGAGAUUUAGUUACAAAAGAAAAAGAACCUCAUAUGCUGAACAUAAAACUUGAUUGUUUUUAUAUGCUCUUAAAACAUCAAAUCUUGCGAUACCAGAGUCCUAUCAAAGGUCUUUUUCCUUCUAUUGGAUCUGACAAGAAUACAAAUAGAAUAGCUCAUGUUCAGGAUUCUAUUUACUGUGCAGUUGCUGUUUGGUCACUGGCUCAAGUUUAUAAAAAGAUUGAUGAUGACUAGGGCAGGAUCGUAAGUUGGGCCAAGCUGAUGAUGGGUAUGUAGCAAUGUUGGAUAUUCAAGUUGGCCUCCUUCAGUUGUAGAGCGACUAUGGUUCAUCUCAAACACUUUUCCAUGUGCAAUGUUGGAUAUGACAGGCAGAUAAGGUAGAAAAGUUCAAAUCCAAUUAAGUCCAGCAUAUGCCCUGCACUCUACAUUUGAUCUUGUCACUGGUUACCCAGCAUACAGAGGCAAAGAAUAUGAACAUUUGCAAAUAAGAAAUGAACACCUUUGAUUUGGAUUCCUCAACUCAAGGAAACAUACCAAUACUAGAACAGUCUUAAAAAAAACAGCAGUGAGGCCAACAACUAGGGGAUUCAUUCAACAGAUGAAGUCAACUUCAUACAGAAUCUAGUUUUUUAUGUGGAGAGAGCUUAUAGAACACCUGACUAUGAGCUUAUAGAACACCUGACUAUGAGUUUAUAGAACACCUGACUCUGGGAUGUGGGAAAGAGGAAAUAUAACAAUGGAAGCACAAAGAUUCAUGCCAGUUGGCAUGGCUAGAGCAGCAGUAAGGCAGUCAAUGAAUGUAACUUAUUUGGUGAGCAUGGAGCCGCCUGGUCUGGGAUUUUUGUUAAUAUUGAUGCCCACCACAGGAACAGAACAAUAUUUGAAACUAUCUUACCCUGGGAAUCAAACUCUGAGAACACUGAUGCCUCUCUUCUAUUGAGUGUUAGUUGGCCUGCAUUAGCCAUAAAUGAAGAUGAUGUUAGAAUGAAAACAACUGAAAUAAAGUUUUGAUGAGAUUGAAUUUGAGGGACCAAAGAUGUCAUUUUAAUUGAUUUACAUUUAUAAGCACAGUAAGACUUUCUGAUCUUUUGGCAUCAUUUUACAUAGCUCAGAAGACAGAAACUGCCACACAGUCUGCUCUGAACUCCCAAGAGUACUCCAAAUUACCAGGCCCCUUCAUAUGUUGACCUAACAAAGUCAAAGUUGCCAAGGAGAGUUGAGUAAAUAGAAGCGCAAAAUUUUCAUUUAUUAACUUUUAAAGCAAUAACACAGUUGAAUGUUCAAGUAUCCACCUGACUGAUGAAUGUUCAAGUAUCCACCAGACAGAUGAAUGUUCAAGUAUCCACCAGAUAGAUGAAUGUUCAAGUAUCCACCAGACAGUUGAAUGUUCAAGUAUCCACUAGACAGUUGAAUGUUCAAGUAUCCACCAUUUCAUUAAUUAUCAUAUUUCUCUUUUAGGAAAAUUUUUCUGUUUUCACUUUAUUUUAUUUUGUACCAGUCUAGUAUUUUGUACCAUUAAAAAUUUAUAUUUUAUGUUAGUAAAAAAGAUGUUUGAAAUUUUGUAGCAAAAUUUUUUUUUUAAAUUUCUAUAUAUAUUAAAAUAGUAAUUUAGUCAACCUUGGAAUCCAAUCACUGAACUGGGAAAGCUAGCUUUGAUUGUUUUUGUUGUUGUAAAUAUCCAUAUGGAUAGUGUGUAUAUUAUGCAAAGGUUGAUUAUUAGCUAUUAAGGUUGGAGUUUUCCUUUUUUUAAUUUUUACAUGAUUUCAAUGUUAAAUACCACUGUAGUUGUCUUUUUGAUAAUGAUGUUAUGAUGUGGUCUUGGUAUAUUUUUUCUGUGAUUAGAUGUUGUAACAUAUAGAUAUUGACAAUGUAAAAAGUUUAUAUACAACCAAGUUCAUACAUUAAUCUAUUUCACAAUCAUACAAACUAUAAACUGCGUAAAGCUUUUUGUUAUUAUUAAAAAUAUAAACUGUAAAGUAUUGGAUACUAAAAUGCAUUUUAAU